rnacentral:misc_RNA from 1 species
AACGCACCUUGCGCUCGCUGGUAUUCCGGCGAGCAUGCCUGUUUGAGUGUCAUGAACUCUUCAACCCUUCAGUUCCUUGUUUGAACUGCGAGGUGUUUGGAUCUUGAACGCUUGCUGGCCCUCAUUUCCCUUUGCGGAUGUCUGGGCGAAGCUCGUUCGUAAUACAUUAGCAUCUCCAAUCUGAAUUCGGAUUGACUCGGCGUAAUAGACUUUAUUCGCUGAGGACAUUCAUUUACUUGAAUGGCCGAAUUUCGGAAGUUACAGACGCUUCUAACACCCCAUUAAAUUUGAAGUCAAAUUUCUUAAUUUAGACCUCAGAUCAGGCAGGACUACCCGCUGAACUUAA